CUGUGCCUUCCCUGAUGCACCCAGCCGGGGGCAGCCAGCAGGGACCACAGAAGCUGCUUCUAGCUGGGGCCCUUCCAUCCCUCUGACCCAGCGUCCAGGAUCGGCAGGCUGCAUCUUGCAAACCCGAGCUUCAGAAACUCGGAAUCAAGGAGGAUCUGGCUGGGGACUCUUGGGGGCUCCGUGGGCUGUUUUGUAACGACAGAGGGAGCGCCUCGCCCACACUCCGGAUCUGCCGCGCCCGCUGCCGCCCACGGACCCUGCGGAAUUAGCUCGCAAAUGGGAGGAACAGGUGACGGGCGCCUGCUCUGGGGACGUCAGCCCUCCCAUCUCACACCCGAGGCACCGGGCUGGCUGCGUCCCCGCUUUGCAAGAAAAUGACUUCCCUGCCAGAUGGGAGCAGGACGCCCACCUCCCCGCAGCUCCGGCGACAGAGCCCGCAGGAUCCCACACGGCAUGCAUUCCUGAAGCGUGGACGACAAGUGCUCCCGGUGCCCCAAUAAUUAACAAAAGGCCAUCGUCGCUGCCGUGCACCUGCUUCAGGACGUUUUCUUCCCAUGUGCUGAAUAGAGAGGAACAUUCCAGAAUGUGGAACUUGGGGCACCUGGACCUCGAGUCUAUGGAGAGACAUUCUAGGGAGGUAGCUUUCCACGUGGCAGAUCGGCAUAACUCUGGACUGAUUCGGGGAGAAAUCUCCCAGAAGUGUUUUUCUCACUGCCCUGCCUUAAAAAACAAAAUCACAACCCAAACAGAACCUUACGACUUCACAUAAACGGAGUCUCGAAAUGUCCUGUGUCUACGGGAGGCUCCACGUUGCCUCCACUCUCCUCACUGCUGAGUUGGAUCCCGAUGCGUGAAAGGUCAUAGUUCGUCGAUUUCCUUGAAGGGCAGCCUACAAGGAACAUUCCAGCUCUGCCCAUUUUGGAUGAGUGUAUACAUGCCCGGGAGGAACCUGCAGCUUAUAGGGCACCUGCGUGCCAGCUCGUUUGGAAACUGCCCUGAAGGGCGAGGCCCAUGUCCUCUGCAGCGCUCCACACUCUCCCUCCCCCCUGUCAGCUCUGGCGACCCUAGCAGGUACCACACCUUGUGCGGGAGAGUUUGACAAACACCUCAGCUGCUUCUUGGUACCUGAAGGUCACGUUCGUCCGCGUUAGCCACUGCCGCCUGACGGGGACAUCAUAACCCCGAGCUUCCUGCCACGCGGCUGCUCUGCCCGCCUCUGUCUGUGCGGUUCUAGUUCUUUGAGAGGAGCAGCGCCGGACCCCAUCUGAUGCACGCACACCCUGGCGGCACCUUUAUGCGCUCACGGGUUUGCUCAUCCAGCAAACACUCACCGAGUGCCUGGCUGUGUCCAGGAUGGCCCAGGUCAUGGAUGCAAGUUGGGUACAGCCACGGCCCUGACUUGGGGGGCACGCCGCCCAUGUGGGGAUGGGGUUGCCCUCCACUCGCUCCCCACCCACACCACAGACAGGCGCGAACCGUGUGGAACGUUCCACACCCGUUUACCAGGUGACUACCAUCCCGGCUCUCUGUGACUGCCGGGGCCAGAACCGGAAAUGCCCGGGCAAAUUUUGUGUCAGUUGGGCACACUGCUCGCCAAGCCCUGGGACCCAGAGCUGUGAGGGGCUGCACCUGGGUCCAAGCCCACCAGCUCUGCCUGCCUGGGGCAUGGCUCAGACCUGCCCUUGCGGCCCCUCGGUGCUGCCGCUCGCUCAGGACCAGAGAGAAAGGAGCUGGCCGCAGGGGUCCAGAUGGAUCCUGGGGGCUGAAUGAAGACCAAAGGAUGAUGCUGUUUGCCAGGACCGACACUGGAUGAGGGCUGAGGUCACAGGCCGCUGCUCAAGGACAAGCCUCUGUGGGAACAUCUCACGAGAUGCAGCUUCCACAGGAAGCCUCCCUGGCAGCCCGCAGAGCAGGCUGGGUCCCUGUAUGGAUUCCCAGUCUCUGCACUUGUCCUAUGUGACCCUUUAUUGCUCUCCAGGUCAGUCUCCCUCUCCUUUGAACCCUGUACCUGCUGUAUGAUGA